rnacentral:lncRNA from 1 species
CUCUGAUCCACCUCUACGCAGACGACACCAUUCUGUAUACUUCUGGCCCUUCUUUGGACACUGUGUUAACUACCCUCCAGACGAGCUUCAAUGCCAUACAACUCUGUGUCUGGUUAGACUGUAAGCUCUCCUUCCAGACUCACAUCAAACAUCUCCAAUCUAAAGUUAAAUCUAGAAUUGGCUUCCUAUUUCGCAACAAAGCAUCCUUCACUCAUGCUGCCAAACAUACCCUCGUAAAACUGACCAUCCUACAGAUCCUCGACUUUGGCGAUGUCAUUUACAAAAUUGCCUCCAAUACCCUACUCAAUAAACUGGAUGCAGUCUAUCACAGUGCCAUCCGUUUUGUCACCAAAGCCCCAUAUACUACCCACCACUGCGACCUGUACGCUCUCGUUGGCUGGCCCUCGCUUCAUACUCGUCGCCAAAUCCACUGGCUUCAGCUCAUCAACAAGACCCUGCUAGGUAAAGUCCCCCCUUAUCUCCGCUCACUGGUCACCAUAGCAGCACCCACCUGUAGCACGCGCUCCAGCAGGUAUAUCUCUCUGGUCACCCCCAAAGCCAAUUCCUCCUUUGGCCGUCUCCUCUCCUUCCAGUUCUCUGCUGCCAAUGACUGGAACGAACUACAAAAAAUCUCUGAAACUGGAAACACUUAUCUCCCUCACUAGCUUUAAGCACCAGCUGUCAGAGCAGCUCACAGAUCACUGCACCUCUACAUAGCCCAUUUAUAAUUUAGCCCAAACUACUACCUCUUCCCCUACUGUAUUUAUUUAUUUUACUCCUUUGCACCCCAUUAUUUCUAUUUCUACUUUCUUCUACUACAAAUCUACCAUUCCAGUGUUUUACUUAGUAUAUUGUAUGUACUUCGCCACCAUGGCCUAUUUAUUGCCUUUACCUCCCUUAUCUCACCUCAUUUGCUCACAUUGUAUAUAGACUUAUUUUUCUACUGUAUUAUUGACUGUAUGUUUGUUUUACUCCGUGUGUAACUCUGUGUUGUUGUAUGUGUCAAACUGCUUUGCUUUAUCUUGGCCAGGUCGCAAUUGUAAAUGAGAACUUGUUCUCAACUAGACUACCUGGUUAAAUAAAGGACUUGUUCUCAACUGGCCUACCUGGUUAAAUAAAAGGUGGGCUGUGGAACUGUAGAGCUGCACAUUAACAAACCUGUCACCCUGUCCAUUCCUCUGUCCCCAGGUGAGUCUGCUGAGCUAUUUAACUGUAGAGCUGCACAUUAACAAACCUGUCACCCUGUUGUCAGCAACCAGCAGACAGUUCCCUGAGGAAGGAUGCAAUGGUCAAGGCUGUCAAUGACCAGAUUAUGGGGAUGACUAAACG